rnacentral:lncRNA from 1 species
GCAGUUUGAAUGUCCCACUCACAGCUAGUAAAAAUAAACAUAAUAGCUGGGAUUUUGUGUUAGUAAAGAAGAUGGAUUAUAGCAGACAACAUGCGCAAAAUAUGGACAUCAGAGAAAGGAAGAGGCUUCGCAGGGAAUCUGUUUGGCUACAGAAUCCCUUCCUCCCCAAGGGACCGUCAACAAAGAAGCCGGGUAAAGAAGGAACCAGGCCUACUGAUAGCAGAGAGAGGAGAUCUUCAAUGGCACACAUCAGAUCUGUCAGGGACAAAAGGCCAUUGGCCACGAGCCAACAGGCAAAUCUCAGAGCUGGUAGACCUGCUGAGAGGAACUGGGAGAAAGCUGUCAGCAAAAGUUCAUCAGCUCAAGUUAAAGUGGCCUCAGUGGCCAAAACUACUGUAAAGAACGAUACAGAACCUGCACAGAAAAAAAGGAGGAAAAUUCACCCGUCUGGUUUC